AUACAAUCAAGAUUUAAAUUUUGUCAGCUCUCCAUAAAUAAUUUUUCCCCCCCAUCAAUCAUCUCUUUUUUUUUACCCAAAGCUAAUCUCUAAGUCUACUGACUACCCAAAGUCAGGCUCUUUGACUCUGUAUCGGCUGAGACAAAUUGGCUCUGUUGUACAUAAACUGUCUUCCUUGUAAUAGAUGACUCAGCUUGCUUGUCCGGGG